GCUAGCUGAAUUCACAGCAUCAACGUCUAUGAGGUUUUGAUAGAAGAACCUGCCGAUUUUCCGGGCCUGUUCUGAUGGAAUAUCUUCUUCAAUUUCACCGUCAUCUGAAGUAGAGAAUGACUCCUCUCUCCUAAUAGAAAAGGAACAUCAGGGCAAGGCGUUACAUCUCCCCGCACGCCUCCCAAGUGUUGCUUGAGGCGGCUGGUCCCGGAUACCGACUUACUACAGGAUCAACCCGGAGAGCCCAAGAGGGGUGAAAGACGAGCUAAAAGAAAGCCAUUGACAAGCAUUUGAAGCAGCCCCGCUAUGCUAAGAAGAGAAGCUGAAACAGAGAUGACACGGAGAGAAAGAGAUGGGUACCUUUCGGGAAAGGGCAAACAGAGAUUAAGAGCAAAGGGGCAGAAAGUGAUUUCGAAACACAGAACGGGAUGGCGACUUAAUGAGCAGAAGAGGAAGAAGAAGAAAUAGAGAGAGAAUUUAUUAUGAUCCCUUUUGUCUGGAUUCUCCGUACAAUUGUCUCCUCUUUUUGUAAAAUUGUACUUUGGCCCUUGAAUAUGUACCUAAAAUGGUAUUUGGUCCCUGAACUUGUCAAAUUGGACAUUAGAUCCUUGAACUCUGUAACUAAUCCGAGGUGUAAGUUAAUAAACUCUGAUCGGUCAAUCUUUACGGUG